UACGGAGGAUGCGAGCGUUAUCCGGAUUUAUUGGGUUUAAAGGGUGCGUAGGCGGCUUUUUAAGUCAGCGGUGAAAUUUUGCAGCUUAACUGUAACAGUGCCGUUGAUACUGGGGAGCUAGGAUUUGGUUGCUGUGGGUGGAAUGUGUGGUGUAGCAGUGAAAUGCGUAGAUAUCACGAGGAACUCCGAUUGCGCAGGCAGCUUACUAAACCAUAACUGACGCUCAGGCACGAAGGCGUGGGGAUCAAACAGGAUUAGAUA
rnacentral:rRNA from 1 species